GUGCGCGCGGCGCUCCCAGCGGCCCUAAAUUACAGGCGCCGCCAUGAUGGAGGGGGGGGGGAGCGAAAGGGCAUCAGCAUAGAGAGCUCGCCAGCACAACUGAUCAUGGAGACUCAAGGCUGCAAACACGCUCCAGCAUAGAGUACACAGGAGGUGGUGGAUCUUAUUGCUGUCUGGGGAGAAGAGUCUGUGCAGGCAGAGCUCCAGUCCAGCAGAAGAAACGCUGACAUUUAUGCCAAGAUUGUGCAGGGCAUGGGGGAGAAGGGCUACACCAGGAACACGCAGCAGUGCCUUGUGAAAAUAAAGGAGGGUACCAGAAGACAAGGGAGGUGAACAGUUGUUCUGGUUCUGCCUAACAGACAUGCCACUUUAAUGAGGAGCUGCAUGCGAUUCUCAGCGACAACCACACAAAUACCCCAAAACGCUCAGUGGAUACCUCCCAGGCGGCCUCAAGCAACAACGAGGAGGACAUUGUUGACAAGGAAGAGGAGGAAAAUGUAAGCUGAAACCUUGUCCGUCGAGUGCAUCCUCUACACUGGGACAGAGAGUUUCCCAGAUUAGAAGGCAGAAACAGAAGACUUUGGAGGACAUGUUCAAUGAGUUAAUGCACACCUCAGGGAGUGACAAGACGGAGCUCAGAGCAUGAAGGAUUACACUGUCCAAGGACAUGGACAGGGCGGACAGGAGAGUAUGUAGGGAACAAGAACGUGCCAUGCAGGAAGAGAUGCUGCGGAUUAUGAAGGAGCAGUCAGACAUGUUGAGGCAUCUGGCUGAAGUUUAAGAAAGGCAGCUGAAUGCUAGAAUCCCUCUGUAGCCUAUGCUGAACCUGCUGCCAUCAUUGCCCAGUUCUACAUCCUCCUCUCCCAAAUGUCCUAUGAGGCGGGGGGGGGGGUGGAGGGGCGAGGGAGAGUUCGCUAUCCCUUGCACUCAACACAAGAGGAGGGCACAAGGACCAGAAGGUGCCCAUUCCCACACCUUCGAUUGUUAUUGUAAUGCAUCUGUAAGCAAGCUUUCCUUGUUUCUCCCCCCACAGUGUUAUCAGCCCUUUUGCCCCAGGUUAUCUUACUUUUCUUUGUUGUCUCUGUGUGUUUGUGUGCAUAAUAAAACUUAACAGAUUGAGGGGAAAA